ACUGAGUGUCUGACACAUGUACAGAGCCCACAAGCUGCCAUGAGCUAUUUCUACAUGUAACUAGGUGACUACGCCUUGCAGCUUCCCCUACGUUAUAGGCUUUUUAACUUCAUUAUGUGAUCAGGCAUGUUGCCAACUUUGAAGGCCAUUCCACACAUCUGAGUGAUCUGGCUUGCCGUCCAGGUGAUUUAAGUGCCAAUCUUGAUAAAGGUCCGCAUAAGGACCGAAACGUCGAUGAAAUAC